rnacentral:rRNA from 1 species
GGGUGCGAUAAUUCCGACACUAAUGCACCGGAUCCCAAUCGAACUCCGCAAUUAAGCGUGUUUGGACGAGAGUAGUACUAGGAUGGGUGACCU